rnacentral:sRNA from 1 species
AAGGUUUUUUGUUUGGUU